rnacentral:tRNA from 1 species
UACACCUUAGUGUAGGGUGCACGUUGAUUUUUGAUGUCAAAGGUGAAAGUUUAAUUCUUUUAGGUGUAA